CUUAUCACAAAUGUCAAAAUGCUGUGAUGGUUCUGUGAAUUGUUUAUUUGUAAGAAACGCUCAUUAGAAAGUAAUAAAGUAAGCUCAAUGCAUAAAAAUCAAAAUUCAAAUGCCAAUAAAAUUUCGAAGUAACCAAUAAUAAAGAAAGUUCAAUAGUCCAAGAAAUCAUUGUCGCAUUGUGUCCCAAGUGGUUAGCCUUGAAGUAGAUGUCACAUAAUAACUGGUGUUUAUUUUACAUUUUAGUUAAAUUUAUUGUGUAUCCACGAUUAUAUGGCUUUGCAAUUUGACUUAUGUUUCGCGGGUAUCCGGAAAAGGCAUGUUUCGUCCACGAGUUCGGGAAAAAGGAGUAGGUUUAGUAGUAGUCAGCUGGAUUGGAUUGAUCGUAUUGUGCGCCGCGUCUACUUCACCCUGCGACAAGACUCGGCGAGUUUUCACGGCGCAGAGCGGUAUUAUCACUGACGGGCCUAGCACCUCUAAUUACACUCAGGAUUCCCAUUGCGAAUGGCUUAUCAAGGCAGCUAACAAAAGUCAAUACAUAACAUUGAGCUUCAUUCGUAUGGGCACAGAAUGUUCCUAUGACUAUGUUUUUGUUUAUGAUGGAGAUUCUUUUGAUGCUCCACUGCUUGGUAGUUUUAGUGGGAAAACAGAACCUCAAAACGUAACUGCUUCUAGUGGAUAUAUGUUAAUACUAUUGUACAGUGAUACAAAUUAUGUAUUAGACGGAUUCCGUGCAGCGUAUGCCAUACACAAUUGCCCUAAUAACUGUACUGAAAGAGGGCUCUGCAUUUCGAAUGAAUGUUUUUGUGCCGGAAAUUGGGGAGGGGCUGAUUGUAGUAUUGAAAUCUGCCCUAACAGUUGCUCAGGCAAUGGGGAAUGUGAAGGUGCAAAGUGUGUAUGUAAAAAAGGAUAUUCUGGUGAAUCUUGUACCUUAAAGAAAAAUGACAAAGAAGGCAAUAGUUGGCAUUGGCUCUCUCGCUCUGAAAGCGGCAUGACAAGACGGGCAGCUCACACUGCCAUUUACGUAAACCACACAGACUCUUUGUAUGUGUUUGGAGGAUAUGAUCUGAAUAAAGUGUUAGGUUCACUGGAAAUUUAUAGGUUUUCUACUAGUCAAUGGUAUGAUGAAAAAGGAAAAAUCUUGCAUAGGAAUCCAACUGAUGAAGAUCGUAACAAAUAUCUUCUAACUUUAUUUACCAAGAGCAACUUAGGUGGCAACUUACUAGUUGGAAAUAAGAAUUCUAUUUUAAAUACAGUUGUUUCAUCAUUCAUGAAUCAUGACAAAUCAACUUUACCGCUUAUGUACUCACAUAUGCCUCCGCCGUUUACGGAAACCUAUUUACAUUUUACUGAGCGACCGGAUGCUAUGUCAGAAUCGAAUGUAACUAAACCAGAACCAAGAUAUGGACACUCAGCAGCUGCUUAUGGAAAAGGCUUUGUCUUGUAUGGAGGAAAAUUAUCUGACGGUAGUUUAUCUUCAGAGCUGUGGUUGUAUGAUGCAGAACAAAAUAAAUGGUCACUAAGAGCACUGAACUCUUCGUUUACACCACCUGGCUUAACUCGACACAGCCUCACUACCGUAAAAGAUGAACUGUAUUUAUUUGGAGGUAGUACCGUGGACGGUGAAUUUUCUGCAAGAAUGUUCAAAAUAAAAUUGGGAGAUGUGAACAACGAGAAUUGGGAGAUGGUCCAGGUGAGGGGAGGCAAAGAACUGGAUGUCCGAGUAGUCGCUCAUUCCGCAGUCUACCAUUCGCAUUCUAACUCCAUUCUCGUGUACGGAGGCGUAGUGGCCAGUGUCGCGAGGUUUUCGAAACUAUCAGACAGGAUGUUUGCUUUCGACAUAGAUUACAAACAUUGGAGUGAAAUACAUUAUCCUAGAGCACACUUGCGCGACACUUAUGUGCCACGAGAGAGAGCUUUCCAUACCUCGACUAUUAUAGGUAAUUAUUUGAUCGUUUUCGGCGGUUAUUCACAUCGGCACAACAAAGACGAGAUCUGUUACGACAGUCAAAUGUAUAUUUAUCAUUUGGGUUGUCACUCGUGGAUACCUUUAGAUGUAUUAGGUAAAACUCGUAAGCUGUAUCCGAAGAAGCAAGGAGUGUUCGCCCACGCGGCUGAUUUGAAACCGCCUUCGACUUUGCUUAUUGCUGGGGGAUAUCACGGCAACGUAAACGGUGACCUAUUAGCAUUCGUAGUUCCCAGUUGGCAAGCGGGGAUAUUGAAUAAAAAUCCAGAAUCCUCAUGUCCGCGUCAUCAUUCGCAACCUGAAUGUCUAGCCGAUCCUGAAUGUGGAUGGUGCUCUGCGGAUGAUAUAUGUUACGGACGUACGAUUGGCUCGAAUUGUACCACAAAUCUGCAGUCAAUACGUUGCGGCGGCAUCUGUCCUGCUCUAGGCGAUUGCCACUCUUGUCUCAUCCACGGACCGCCGCUGGAAAACCAGAAUGUGUCCCGCAAACCUCUUCCCUCAGUGAGCACGAAGCUCGGCCUGCAACAGUGUAACUGGUGCGUGCAAAACGCACGUUGUCAUCACAAAGACGAUAAUUACGGAGUUUGCGGAGAAGACACGCCUUCCGAAAACCCGGGCUGGUGGGGGCCGACCGGUACCGAAGUAACCACACCAGACGAGUGUAAAAUUCUUGACAAAAGACCGGGUCUAACGUUUCUUAGAUACCAACAGCCGGCCGAUUGGAACCACCCCGACGGCGUGUCCGUUGUGAACGCGACCACCGUGGACUGGGGCACGGGGUCGGGCAGUAACCAACUGUUCAUAGGAACGAGCGAAGCACAUUUAAAAGGAUGGCUCCACAUCCCGCAACAUUGGAAUGGAACUGGGGAAACACUGCACGUAUGCGCCGGGUAUUCGAACGUUUCUAUUCAAUUAGGUGAUAACGCAGAUGCAGUGACGAACUUAACGGCGCAACCUUCAGCUUGUUCCCUCGUCGACUGGCCAAUAUUAAACCCGGGGAAGUUAUCAGUAGAUAUGCACGCGAAUGAUUCUUUACACACCGGACUAUAUCCCUCGCAUCAUCAUGCCAAAAUGGAAUUAUUGCACAAUAAGUCUCAGGAAAGUGCCAAGGUUUUCACAUUUGAAUUUUUGGAACCGUUCUCCGACGGGCAAUGCUCUAACUACGACAAUUGUUUGCUGUGCUUAUCUGAUGCCGCUUGCGGUUGGUGCGAACUGACGAACCGAUGUGAACCCAGAAAUGCUGACGAGAAAUCGGUGUGCGUCGUGGACGGCCAGUGGAGGUAUCUCACAUUGCUGCCGGCCGCUUGUCCAAACUGUUCCAAUUACAUAAGCUGCGAGCGCUGCGUGUCCGGCCCGCACUGCGAGUGGUGGGCGGACGAGGCUCGCUGCACGCGGCGCGGCCGGGCCGCCGGCGCCGUGCUGGACGCCGCAGACUGUCCGGCGCCGUGCCGCAUGCGCCUCGACUGCGAGCACUGUCUCGACGAGCGCGGCCGCUGCGUCUGGUGCGAGGCCACUCAUCAGUGCUUCAGCUUCAGUGUCUACACCAGUGAAUAUCAGUUCGGCUUGUGUCGAGAGUGGCUCGACCGGGCCUCCGUUCCGGCCGAAGAAGCCAUGCGAAAAUCCGGCCAGUGCAAAUCUUGUGGACGCCACGCUCAAUGUUCCACGUGUUUGCGUAGUAUGGGUUGCGGAUGGUGUCACUCGUUUGAAAACCCUAUAAACGGUGCUUGUACUGAGGGCGAUUUCACUAAACCUCAUAACGAUUGCGCUCUGUUGUUGAACGUGACCCCUGAGGAUGCGGGGUGGGCGUAUGCGCAGUGUCCGGACGUCGACGAAUGCGGCCUCGGCCUCCACGACUGUCACGAGCAUGCCGAUUGUACCAACACGCACGGGUCGUACACAUGCAAAUGUAAACAGGGUUAUAUAGGCGACGGCAAAAAAAGCUGCGUCCAAACGUGUUACAAUAACUGCAUUCACGGGUACUGUCUCGGUGCUCCUCAAUAUAAAUGUCACUGCGACCUCGGGUGGACCGGUGCCGACUGCUCUAUUAAUUGCGGAUGCCAUAAUCAUUCGACGUGUAAAGGUGGCGUCGGUCGAUGUGACGAAUGCCAAGACUGGACUGAAGGUAAAUUCUGCGAGAGAUGUAAACCGGGGAGCCACGGUAAUGCAACAACCGGACAAGGAUGUCGCCGGUGUGACUGUAACGAUCACGGAGAUGAAACGCGGGGCUUUUGUAAUGUGACCACAGGAGAGUGCAUUUGUAAAGACAACACCGAAGGACUGAAUUGUGAACGAUGUAAAUCGAAAUUUUACGGCGACCCUCGUCACGGUGGUCGAUGUUAUUAUCAAUGCGAACCCAGAGGCAUGAUCAAUGCCUCCGAAAUAGAGGGUAUCGGAUCGUAUAAAACCGACCCUGAUAUAAAGAGUAUAGGCCCCUCAAAAGAAUGUUUGUGGAUCAUAUCAGCGGCGGACGUCAAGGACGCUAUUAUUUUGUUUACUGUGAACUCGUCUACUUUCAACGUGCCGUGCGAUGAAAACGCAGUUUACGUGUACGACGGUCUAGGCGGCGUUCCAGACAUGAGUAAUAACCAGCAGAGUCAAUUGUUGGGUGUGUUCUGUAACGGCGCCUCUUCUGGUAUAGUCGAAGCUAGAAGUGGAAAUUUGACAGUACAUUACAAACAAGGACAACCCGAUCAGGGGUUCGAGGGUGUAUAUAAGAUGCUGGCGUGCGAUGGACAUUGCGCUUGGCCGAGGGAAUGCAGUAAACGUCAUUGUGCUUGCAGGGACGGCUAUGGGGGGCCGAACUGUGAAUUCGAAAUCUGUAGGAACAAUUGUUCCAUGUCCCAAAACGCGGGUAGUUGCGACCUUAGCUACGGACGGUGCCUCUGUAACGAUGGAUACGGUGGCGAUGAUUGUUCUGUUAAAAUAGACAAAACGCAGUUAGUGUUCACAGAGCUAUUUAAUUCCGAAUAUUUAUCGGACGGAUUGGAUCACCUCAGGAAAACUUUACCGAGAUUCGGGCACACUUUAGUUGCCGAUCGACGUGGAUUGUGGAUGUUCGGUGGAUAUUCACUCUCACACGGUCCACUUAACGAUAUCAGGUUUUUUGAUACGAAAAAUAAUACAUGGAUGCAGGUUACAGUGGAAGCAACGCCAGACGCGAAAAUGCCCGAAGGUCGAUACUUCCACGCAGCUGAAAUAUAUCAUUCUAAACAAAAUAUUUAUAUCUACGGUGGUUUGAGCUUACAAGAGAAAAGUGGACAGAAUAAGACUUUAGGUGAUUUCUGGCAAUUCAGUUUGAAAGAUCAACGAUGGGCUAAUAUAAAAAGCAAAGACGACAAGCCUCCACCUUUAGCUGGCCAUACAUUAACUUUACAAAAGUAUCAAGACUACGAGAGCUUAGUUUUGAUCGGGGGGUUUUCACUGGAGGGUGGGUUUAUGUCCGACAUCUGGGAAUUCGAUCUUGACAACGAAAAAUGGGCAAAAUUAAAUUGCGAGGGAGCAAAACCAACGGGCAUCAUCGGGCACAGCAGCGUAUAUCACGCUCCUUCGCAAAGCCUCUACGUUUUUGGUGGAAUAUUGUAUUCUUAUAACGGAACGAGUUUGUCGAAUAAACUCUUUUCAUUUCACUACCCUACUAAGAAAUGGAGCGAGCUUCCUAUUUUUCCAACUUUACAUCACUAUAACGAUAAUUUGCCACAAGCAACAUAUUUACACUCUGCGGUCACAACGAAUGAUUACAUGAUAAUAUUUGGUGGGAGAACAGAGCCCGAACACAGAUCGGACUCUUUGAUCGCGUAUGUCUAUAGUUGCAAUCAGUGGGUGCGCUUAGUGAAAGGUGUCAGUAUUGUCGGACAUCCACCUCCGCCCACAAUAGCACACGCUAUGGCCAUAGACAGUGAAACGGAAAACGAAGGAUACAUUUAUAUAAUAGGAGGUUGGACGGGUAGCGCUCAUUGCCAAGUAACGCGGAUCUCUCUGCCGGAGGAUCUCUGCUCGCUAUGGAGUUCCAGUAAAAUGGAGUGCCGCAGUCAUAUGGGUUGCAGUUUCUGCAGCACCGGAAAUUACACGAAGUGCUAUUCAGUCGACAAGCCAGGAUGCGAGAGCGGUGAGCGGGUAUCAACGAAUACGGGUUCCGCGUGCGAUGCCGAAUUGGUAUCCAGGCGUUCGUGUGAAAAUUUCACAACGUGCGCUUCUUGUCUGGGCGCUUGGCCUUUGUAUCCUGAAGAGAAGCCGGCGUGUAGGUGGUGCGAAUCAUGUGCUGCGGCUGUGGGCGAGUGCGUGCCGACGGAUGAGUCUUGUACGAGUAUGAAGUGUAACGCUGGCACGACGUAUAUCAGCGACGUAGGUCAAUGUCCCGAGCUCAGAUGUGUGGCGUCCGACUGCGAUAGAUGCGUAUCCAAUCAGUGCACGUGGACCAGGCACGCAAAGAGAGAAGGUCAGAUAACGAGAGUGGUGGAAGACGCACAAGAAUUAUUCAAUUGGACUUGUGUGUCGAUCGACGAACCUGGACGCGCGAGUCUUCGGCCUACCACCAGGGAGGAGUGUCCCAGUCGCUGUCACCUGUUCGAAGAUUGCCAAUCGUGUUUGAGUUCAGAAGGAAGCGAGGGCGGCUACUCUGAAUGUCACUGGGCAACGUAUUUAGGGAAAUGCAUAUCGCCUGCCUAUCAGCCGGUGUAUUGCGCGGGCGGGGUUUGCGGUUUAGUUUUAACGAAAGCGGAUAAGAACAAGUGUCCGGCGCCGUGCGGGACCUUCGAGCAGUGUUCGGAGUGCCUGCACCACUCACACUGCGGCUGGUGCGCUGUGGACGGCGCCAACGGGGAGGGCGUGUGCGCCGAGGGGUCCAUCGACUCGCCGCUCGAGUACUCGGCGCGGACUACUUGCGCGGCCGUGUACGAAAGCGCGCACCAGACGAACAACACUAACGAAACGUUCUCGUGGCACUACACGCGCUGUCCGCCGGAGAACGAGUGCGAAAAUAAUCACCAUCAAUGUAAAGCUGAAUCAGAGGUGUGCCGCGACCUGCCGUUCGGGUACGAGUGUGCAUGCGGGCGGGGUCACCGGCGCGCGGCGGGAGGGGGGUGCGCCGCCGUGUGCUCGCAGGGCUGCGUGCGCGGCGCCUGCGUGCAGCCCGACCUCUGUCGCUGCGAGUUCGGGUACGUCGGCGCCAACUGCACCAUCCAGUGCCAGUGCAACGGACACUCCGACUGCGAGGGUCCCGACAAACUCGACAAAUGUAUCAAGUGUCAUAAUAACACCACCGGUAAUCAAUGCGAGAAAUGCAUGCCUAACUUCGUGGGAGAUCCGGUGAACAAUGUCCAGUGCGUGCCGUGCUCCUCUUAUUGUUACGGACAUACGCUGAAGUGCACGAACGAGGGGGAACCUGUCUCGGCGGCUGCGGAGGGUGAAGAAUUCUACAGAGACGCGGCGCCGUCCACACGUGCGCGGUGCGUGCGCUGCGCUAACAACACCGACGGCCAGCGCUGCGAGCGAUGUAUUGAAGGAUACUUCAGGGGUUCCGAGGACUUCCGAGACCCUUGCAGGCCUUGCGAAUGCCACGGUCACGGCGACACGUGCGAUCCCGUCACCGGCGAGAAGUGUAACUGUGGUAAUAACACUGAAAGUGACGUCUCCUGUCAAACUAGCAGUUCAAGCAAGAAUUCGGCACAGGAAUGCUGGCGUUACCAGUGCGUGAAAUGUAAGGACCUAUACAUGGGCGACCCGAGGAACGGACAUCAAUGUUAUAAAACGAUUAAUAUCGAGAAUCGACUGUGCUUUGACGGGAAAUCCAUUGACGAAUGUAAAAUAAAGCCUCGACCUCUGUUCCCCGGUCAGACCGUAUUCUUUGCAGUUAAUCCACGUUAUAUGAACGUUGACAUAAGAGUUAUAGUGGACGUGACCCAGGGCUCUGUCGACUUAUACAUGAGUCCGAACGACAGUUCGUUCGUGGUCUCGGUGAACUCGAGCACAGGGGCUCACAACGUCGAGCUAGAUCCGACGUACUACAAGCACGAGCCUUUCAGGAAGAUGCCGACGUUCGACGAAGACGAACCCGAGAAGCCGCACAUGUUCUGGUACUACGACAAGAUCGAGUAUCUGCUCGCGGACUACACGGCGAAGGACCUGGCAACGUACGUCGCCAUAGACCGGAGGAACGUUCUGCUGCGAGUCAGGAACCUCCGCAAUCGGCUCGUGCUCACCCUGCCUCAUAACAUACACGACCUCGCGCACACUAAGUUCUACAUAGUGGUCCGUUCGCGGCACACAGACGACGGUUCCGCUAGCUACGGCGUCGUAUAUUUCCGUCAGGACCAACUACACAUAGAUCUGUUUGUGUUCUUUUCUGUGUUUUUCUCGUGCUUCUUCCUUUUCCUCGCCGCUUGUGUUGUCGCGUGGAAGGCUAAGCAGGCGGCCGACGUGCGACGCGCCCGACGAAGGCACGUGGUGGAGAUGCUACAUAUGGCUAAACGUCCGUUCGCGGUCGUGACGGUAGUCUUAAACGGCGGAGUGACGUCAUCUGGGGGACGUCGGCGCCGCGGCCCCGACCUGCGUCCUAUCGCCAUCGAACCCACUGGCGACGGGCGGGCCGCCGUCACUUCUGUACUCGUCAGGUUGCCCGGAGGCGCCCGCGCGCCCGUGCGGAUGGCGCUAGCGUCGUCGCUGGUGGUGGUGGGGCGCACCGCCGCCCCGCGCCCCCGUCCGCGCCGCCCUCCCCCCCUCGCGCGUCUGGCCGCGCACACCUAGCACCACUGCGCCGCCUGUCACCGCUGCGUCUGUCCGCGCCACGACAUCCAGCUUCGUCAUAUGUGAGCGAUGCCCUCGGUGGACUGGCGGCCUUUCGAGACCCAGCUUUAUCUUGGCGCACUAAAAUUACUAUCGAAGAAUACUUUCAUAAUUACGGCCCGAUCACAAACAGUGCGCGCUGUGUUUCGUCAUUAUCGAAUUUCGGAUGAACUGUUGAUGGAGGAUUAACUACAAAAUGUUUAGAUUAAAAAUGACUAAAUGUAUCAGGUUUAAUUACGUAGACGUGGUAAAUGUACCUGGAGAAUAGGUGUCCCGAAACGCAUAUAACUAAAACGUGCGGAUCAGUUUAAGAAAUAUCACAUAGUUGUUACUCUGUUGCUCGAUAUAAAUAUAUAUUUUCAGUAAUGGAGCCAAAGGUAUAUCGUGUGAGGCGCGCUGGUUGUGAAACUGCAAUUAUAGUCGCUAUACAUACUGUUUUGUUGUUUAUUUCUAAAUUUUAUUAUAUAUGUUGAAAAAGCUUGCAGUACAUUUUAUAUUAUUAUAUACGUAAAUGAAAUCGUUACGAAACUGUCCAAGUAAAUAUAUUUAUAACAGUUAUUCGGCAUGUGUAAGACCGGAUUGGGAAAACUUGAAUGAAUGGUUCAUUUUCAGCGUCAUUAUUUUUUUUAUGUUCCUACAAUUCAAUGAAUCUCUUAUGAUGUGAUUAUUUUAUAAUAUAAUUAACGAUGGUAGCUACGUUAAGCCAAUUGUUUGAUUUAGGACAUUUUGGAUGAACGUAUCAUUGGCAAAUAUACAAUGUAAUGAUUUUUUUUAAUUAUUUUUUUCUUUCAGUAAAUUAUCAUGGCAGUUUAAAUGUUUUACAUUCUUGCCCUUGAUUUAAGAAGAAGGUAAUCGUUUUCUAAAUGUCCGAAUUUUAUUUGUAUAUAAGUAAUCAGUACCUAAUUAUUAUUUUACAAUUAUAAGAUUUUGCACAAUUUUCUCUUUAGAUCUAUAACCGUCCUCAGAGUGGUGUCUUGAAUAUAUAUUUUAUUAAUAGGUUUAUGUUAACUUGUUUAUUGAUUAAUAAAAACCUUAAUAUUUUAUUUGAAAUCAACUGACAUUACAUUCGAAUAUUUCAAUCGCUUCUAAAUUUUAUGUAAAACAAUUUUGGUAAUGUAUUGUUCUACUCGCAGUUGCUCAUUGAUUAUUUAAAUUUAUUUACAGAAUUUUAUGGAGGUAUAAUUCUCAACGCAUAAAAUGAAUUAAGAUAGUUAAAUGUAGUUAUAAUGACAAUUUUUAAACAAGUACUGAAUAUUUUAUUAUGCUAUUUUAGUUCUACUAAAUAAUGUUUUUUUUUUAAAUAAAAUGUCCAAAUCCAAAUUACAUUCCACUAAAUUGAUAAUGUACAUAUUGUGUAAUUUAUUAAUGUGUAGACAGAUUUAAAAUCAGGUGUCAAAGAGCUUUAAAAAAAAUAUGUGUAUAGGGAAUUGCUCAUCUAUUAAAUUGGGAUAUUAUUGGUAUUAUUUUACAAUGUAUUUAUUUGUAUGGCUUACUCAACCUAAAAUUACUUUCAAUAACAAUGAUACUUUUCUUUGCACUAACUGUCAUAGUGAUAAUUAUUAUAGUAAAAUAAUUAAGUUUCAUAAAAAAUAUUAGAUCUGAUUUGAUAGUCUAUUUGUGCAGUGAUUAAUUCAUAUAAGUUUCACAUUUAAUUUACCAUAGAAAACUGUAAAAAUAUUAUGUUGAAUUUUUAGAAACUGUUGUUCACAAUCAGUAUAAUUAAUAUAUUUAUUUUGAUUUGGUACCAGAUCGAUGCAGAUAUUGUUGUCCUUGAUUUGUUGAUCUAGUCAUGUGCUGAUUUAAAAAAAUGCCUAAAAGUCAUUUGCUUUAAUAAAAUUGAAUUAUGUAUUACAAUAGCAGUGGGGCAAGUUUCUUAGUGCCAAAUAUAGUCGUGCCCAGGGCAACUUUAAAACAUUAACAAACAGUAAGAUUUCGUAUAAUAUUACAAUGAGCUCAACUGCAUCGAUAUCUGAUGAUUUAUUGCAUUUCUACAAGCAAUUAGAGUUGAUAUUAAAACAUAAGUUUGAUUGACAUAAUAUGUACAAUAUAACAUGCCAUGCAUAAGAAUUAACUCACUUGCUCAAACAUAUAAUUUUAAGAAACAUACCGCUCACUUUUCAUGAGAGUAAAUAAAAUUUCAUCUAAAUGUAUACAUUUUGUAAUUCUCUUGAGUUUUUUUAAAAGAGCUUAGAUAAUAUAUGAUAGGAUGGACAUUCUCAAAUUAGAAGUUAUGACAAAAUAAAUGAAGAUACAUAAUGACAAUUCAUUAUCAUAGUUAAUGAACUGUAAAUGGGCCUUUUGUGUCUAUGACGUAAUAAGUAACUAUAUCCUCAUGACAUUUGUAAGACAAUGGCAGUAUUACGUUGAGGGGCUGACUUAUCAUCAAACAAGAAAAGAAUUAGCAUAUGAUGGUGGUCCGGUAGUUUCUACAAGGACAGUAACAGAUUGGUUAAGCUAUUGCAAGAAGACAGUCACCAUAUACAGGUUGCGAAUUCAAAAGGCCCAAGGGAAGAUAGAGCUCUCUAAUAAAGUGUUGACCCAACAAAUAAAUUGGUAGCAUCAGACAGGUCACACACCCAGCGUAUAGACAGCUAGUGAGCCAGAGAGAAGAAAUUUCAACAACAGGAAAUGAAUAAUUUUACAGACUAGUUGUGCGAGUACUCAUGAAGGCUGAGGUUAUAGGUGGAACCAUUUGGAUGUGAAGAAUUAUUAAAUGCAAUAAAACAUUUUAAUUAUAUAAGUUUAUAAAUUAGAUUUAAUAUAACAUUAAUACAA